rnacentral:tRNA from 1 species
UCCUCCUUAGCUCAGUUGGUUAGAGCAUCUGACUGUUAAUCAGAGGGUCCAAGGUUCGAGUCCUUGAGGGGGA